GGAAGGGCUGAGCUUUGAGUAUGAACACAGGAGAGAGCUGGUGGCCCUGCUCGAAGGUGGUCAGGCAGGGGAGGCUCUCUGAUUCAGGAGUGGAUCAGAGCCUCUGAAGAUGGAGGAGGCUCACCCGCCUGGUGGAGGGGGAGGAGGGUAGUCUGCUUCUACUCAGGCUACAGAGUCAUUUUUUUUUUUUUUUUUCUUUUUAGGGCCACGCCUAAAGUUCCCAGGCUCUGGGUCAAAUCAGAGCUAUAGCUGCGGGCCUCCACCACACCUUCAGCAGCUGGCCUACACCACAGCCAUGGCAACAUGGGAUCUGAGCCACGCCUGUGACUUACAUCACAGCUCACGGCAAUGCCGGAUCCUUAACCCACUGAGUGAGGCCAGGGAUCGAAACCCCAUCCUCAUGGAUACUAUUUGGGUUCAUUACUGCUGUGCCACAAUGGGAACUUCCAGAUUUCAAUGUUAAUCACAUCUCAAGUGCCCUCCCUGACACUCCCUGAAUAAUGUUGGACUGACUAGCUUCACACCCAGGGGCCCAGUCAUGCUGACACAGAAUUAUCCAUCUCCAGGUAUGGCCAGGAAUUGUCUCACUUUGGGAGGGAAGUUUUCAGAGCUGGCAUGUCACUUACUACUGUCCCAUUUUCACGCCUAGGUGAUGGUGGAGGAGCCUCAAGUGUUAGCCUGGGUCCUCAAGUGUCCAUCAUACACCAUAUUCCUGGCCAUCUUUGACGUGCGUGAGAAAUAAUUUUUUUGUGUGUUAAGACAAAGAUGUUGGAGCUAUUUUUCACUGCAGCAAAAUACAGCCUAUGCAGACUAAGAUUAAAUGUGAGAAGAGGGGUUUAGAAGCUGAAUCAGAACUUGAAGAUUCAGAGCACCAUGUGAGAUGCUUGGAGGUGCUUGGAGAUGACCUAGAACUUGUGCUGAAAGGCAGCUCCAGGACCAAGCUGCACAUGAGGUGUUUCGUGAAGACUACAACAGCCCUCUUGCAGGCAUGAGGGAGAAGCUACACAGAGAAAUAGAUCCAAAAGCUGG
rnacentral:lncRNA from 1 species